ACCUCCUUUCUCUGUCUCUCUCUCCAUCUCUCCUUCUCUUAUUAUCUCUGAUUUCUCCUCGUCAGUCCUUUACUCCUCACUCUUUCAUUCUCUCUCUCACUCUGUGUGUUGUAGUUCCCUCGGGGCUUUGGCUCGUUUCUUGCGGAGAAGAAAGGCGAAAUAAAGGCGACAUAAAGGAGCAAGGAGCCCAAGGAGGCGACGUGGCGUUUGGCGGACAGAGCGGCGCCAGGCCUCGCCACCGACACACACCGUCGCGAUCCAGCAGACAUCCUCAGAUUCCCAGAGAGCAGACUGAGACGUGUGACGUUUCAGGGGAAAGCAACCGCGGUUUGACCCCCACAGGAGUGUCACUGAUACUCAGUGAGUCCGUCUGAUCAUUUUAAUGCAUCAAUCAUUCAUCUUAUUAUCUUUUUGUCAGGAUGUUUAACAGAAAAAAUGAAGGUGAGUACAAAAGUAUUUAAAAACUAUGUAGGAGUUUCUCGCCAUGUGGAUCGAUUUGAUUUUUUGUGCCGAGCUUUUCACCAAUGACAGUCUAUAGUUGUGGUUCCUGAACAUAAGGAAUCCAUUUUGUAUAAUUUAUUAAACUCAGUGACAUAUUUUGUAGAUAUUCAUAUAUUUAAACUGCAAAAUGAACCCAAACUGAACUCAGUAACUGCAGGAAGUUUGUGUAAAAUGAGAGAUUUGGAUGAAUUUUGAGCAGAUUAUUUCCUGUUUAGGGAACUUUUUAUACAAUUAUCUGUCUGUAUUAUGUAGUUUAAUCAUUUUUAACAAUCAUACGGACUUAAUUGGCUUAUUUUCUGACAAAUUCAGUGUUUUCUUGUCCCUGACGCUUAGCCACUGUUCUAUUAGACAAUUUACUUUUACAUUUCUUCACACAUGUAUAGGCCUACAGUGUAUAUUUCUAACGCUUUAAGUCUGUUUAUACCAAGAGUUCGGGGAAAAAACAGCUGCCAUAGGUCUGACUUUCGUUAAUAAUGCAUGCAACUGUAAUUAAUGAGUGAAUUUGUUAUUUAUUUGUUUUGAUAAUAUGUAUUAUUUAUAUUUAUUUUGGUGGAAGUUUGGGUUUGCGCCCAAAACUGCUUCCGUGGUUCGGGCUCAGUUCGAGGAGGAAGAAAUUCUGCGAAUGUAUUUGCGACCCAAAGCCACAUGUGACUUGUGUCAGUCAGUCUCUUUGAUAAAUUACAAAUGGGUACAACAUAGAAGAAAGAAACUAAUUACUUCUGGUAUCCAUCCUAUCGACGCUGGAAUCAAUCUUCAAAAUGAGAUGUUGUAUUGAAAGUGUCAAGAUUUUGAGCCCACCCCCAAGAUGAGUGAGGAGGAACAAACGUUGAAAGGUUUGCAAUAAAAACAGGUAAUUUAAUGAAAAAUGGACAAAUGCCAAAGCCCUUAGUUUGCCACCUCAUAGCAAUCCGGUGUCAGGUGUCUUAUUCUGCCACGUCAAAGAUCCUAAUGUCAUUUAAUCUGAUAAAUAUUAGUAAUGUUUGUUUAUUAACUUGCAUUCGCUCUCCAUCUACAGUCUGACUCUCAAAACCAAAACUAUCUGCAUGGCUUGAUAUGUUAUUUCUUUGUCAGAUCUGAAUUUUGAUGGAUAAUGACCGACAGGAGGGAGACGAACAACCCAUGAAAAUCUGGAUAGUUAAUACUUGUUUUCUAGUCCUGGAAACAACUGGAAAUAAAUUAAAAUGCCCAAUUAUCCUGGAAAUAAUCUCUGUAGUCCUGCAACAACAUUUUGAUUGUAUUUUAGCCCCUCAGUCAGAUCGCCUACGUACACCUGGGUUAGAGAAAACCUGUAGUCAUAUCACACGAAAAACCCCCUACCUAUAAUGAACCUACGUCACAAAAAAGAGAACUAAAACUGGAGUUAAAAGUUUAAAUAAUUGACAUACCGCUAAAUUAUAUGACCAUUUGUAAGCAACUGCUGUCCUGAAUAAUCAAGAAAACUCCUGGAAAAAACAGAGCAACUAAACCCCAGAACCUCUGAUUGUAGCUAGAACCUUUGUAUCCGGUAGUGUUGUUGAUUUAUUCAGGUCCGAAUCUGGACAUUUAAUGCAAAGUAUUUGAAUUCUACAUAGUUUUCUAUAGAUAUGCACAGCGACCGCCCUCUACUGGUUGAAACCGACUACUGCAGUUGAAUUUUACUAUUGGCUGAUCUGGAGGCAGAUUUCAUCGCCAACUAACCCCUGCUGCUAUAAAACCAACGUCUCCACUCUGCAGACUGUGGCCUGACACUCAGAAAGUAAGCCUCUCUGAGCCGUUAGCUUAGCUAAGAGCAACCAUGAAUGUGCUUCUAGUGACUGUAAAAGCUCCAGUGGACUCUCCAGGCGGUUAGCUGUGUUAGCUCUGACCAGACUAGAAUCCGUCACUCUGGUGAUUGGUUCCAUUAUUUGUUUUCCUGUAACAUGUCCUCAUUAAACAGUGUAUAAACUCUGGCUCUAUGUUCUCUAUGUAGUUGUGUUCUUACAUUAUCCCAAAUGUUUCCAACAAUGCUCAAACUGAAGGAAUCCUAACCAGGAGAAGCUCACUGCAGUGACACCAAUGGUGGGGAAGACAACAACUCCCAUGAUCCCACGCUGCUUCACGUCAUCAUCAAACUUCUUGUUAUUGUUUUGUUGUGAGAGACCUCCAAAGCUGCUGACAUUACAUAUUACUCGUCGAUGACACAUCUGUCGGUGGCCUCGUCAGGCUGCCUCUCCACUCUCGUCUCGUCUAGGUGUAUCCCAACAUGGCCGCAGGACUCGCAGCCGGGCAAGAGGUGACACGACGGGCGUGGGCGUGCCGGAAUGCCAAACUUCAGCUCGCGGUCAGGGGAGUCACCGCCGGGGCCUCGUGGAUUCAAGCAGGGACAGGCCGUCGCCGCCCCCCACAACCACCUUCCCACCGGGGUCAGCGUUAGGACGACGUGAGCCGCCGCGUACGCCGUCGCCACUGACAUUGUGUCUGUUUACGUGAUGCUUGACUGAAAUCACCAGCGUACUGAGAGGUUAAAGCGGUGGAGCCGGGAACUGUCGCUCUGCAGGGUUACGGGUUUGAUUCCCGCUGAGAAAGACCACCCACGUUCCUCAGGUUGCAUCUAACCGUGGCGUCCUGCUGUUGGAUCCACAGACUUCAUUUAAAGUGGUGGUUCCUGUUUCGCUCUACUUUAAUCUGCAAAGAAACCAGCAUCGGGUUAGUUAGUCAAAAAUAUAAUAUAUUACUCAUUACUCUUUUAAGAAGUUAUAUUAUUACUUUACUGAUUUCUCCCUGCCAACAGUAAUUAGUUACACUUAUAUUACAUUUCUGCUACUGAGACAACAAAAAUAAUGUACCUAAUUAUUUUUUCUGGAGGUAACUGUAAUAUUUCUACUGAAAUAUAUAAGUUAUUAGUUAUUAUAUUACUGCUAAUAAUGAUUUACUGCCCAGUAACAGAAAAACAAUCAGGCUUGGGGAGUAAUGGAUUACAUGUAACAGAGUCAGGAUACAAAAAAAAAAGGUAAUUUGGGUAACGUAGAGUCUCAGAUCGAGCGCGGGCAUUGUGCACUUAGCACCAAUACUAGCUUAAAUUUAACUGGAUUUAUUCACGAUACUCAUCAAACACUUUUUAUCGCCUGUGUGUGUCCCUGUUUCAUUACACCGUCUACGCUGACAUCUUGUGGAAAAUCUACCGGUAUGUUUUCCCGCCAAGCAGUGAAAAAGGCGCCGCUGAGCGUCCAACUUUCCAACUCUCAAUCUUUUGCCCGUUAUGAGCGAACCAUCCAGGUCGUGGUACAUUCUGCCACACUGACAAUGCGAACCCACUUAUGUACUCAAAAUAGUUAGCGCGAGUAUGGAAGGAUUCGAAUUGAGACACAGCGUUGGAAUUUGGCAUUGCUUAUCCUACGUAUAAAAAUGUUUUAUACGCUUCCCGUACGUCGCUGUGCUUGAAUACGUCGUCUUUUUCUACAACGACGGCUCGUCACGUUGGAAACUUUCUAUUCAAACAGUCUGAAUGAGUUUAUUUGCUCACAGGAAUUACUUUUACAUACCUUUAACCUCAUUAUUUAACACUCUGGCCUCGUCUAUUGUCAACAUCCGACACUGUAACAUUAUAAAUACGACAGAAACUAAUAAAGAGUUCCCUUUAAAGCAACAAUUUGUAACUUUUCCACCUUAUAAUAACAGUUAAUUUCCAUUCUGCCCCCCGUACGCCUCUUCUUGCACUACAGGAUGUAACUUUGUUCAAACUGGAUCAGAUUUUAUGGAGAAUUUUUUCUUGGUUGUUGCUCAGAUAUUAUUGUAGACAGGUGUGUGUCUGCCUUUCCAAAUCAUAUCCAGUCAAUUGAAUUUACCGCACAGGUCGACUCCGGUCAGUGAACAGAGAGAAAGGAGGAACCUGAGUAAGAUACUUCAGGUUUGUCUUUUUGUCUGCAGUCCUGUUGACUCAUUAUGUAAAUGUGAUGAGCAAAUAAAUAAUUGGAUGUGGAUGAAAAUGUCCUGAAAACAAAAACAGCUGCAGAGAUGAAAAGGCAAAAUGUUGCUGCUCACCUGAAGGACAAAGCUCCACAAACUGAAGAGCAGGUUAGGAACCUCAGUGUUUUACUCCGAACCAGUUUUAUAACCUUAAGAACAGCUAGAGUUAGGAAUCUUAU